GCUAUGUAACAUUUACAGUGCAACCAGUAGCAGCGCAAGAUUGCAAUAUGAGACUAUCAGUGGUGUUCUUGGUCCUGAUGAUAGUAGUGUGUGCAAUGUUCCAGGGAUCUGAAUCUCUUCCUUGUGGUAGAAACCGUGGUAGACGAACCACGACAACAACAACAACAACAACAACAGCAGCAGCAUCAUAACUUUUGGCCCAGGCACAAUAUAACCUGAGAUAAAUUGAACCUUAUGUCUAUUUAAUCAUGGAAUAGAAAAUGUUGUGUCUCACAUAGCUAUUGUCUAGUUUUUUAGUCAUUUGUUAUCGAUAAUGUAACGCUUACUUCAUCUAAUAGUUAUACCAAAAAAUUAGCUAAAGGUAGAGAUGAAUUAUUAAAUUAAAGUAAUUUGAAUGAUUAAAUUAGUAGUAAUCUAGACACAGCGAAUGCAAAUAAAUAAAUAAAAAACAAAAUAAAA